GCUCUUACCUGGACGGGGUCGACGGCUGAUCAAGAAGAGUCGUCGCCUAGGCUAGUGGUCCACAUUGCACUUGGUGGAUGAGCUAGCCUCUACCAUCUCUCCGAGUGGGAGAGUGAACGUCGUAAUUUGUGGUAGAGGGGGUACGCGUUCGCGCGGCCCCUG
rnacentral:snRNA from 1 species